GAUGAACGCUGGCGGCGUGCCUAAUACAUGCAAGUCGAGCGAACAGACGAGGAGCUUGCUCCUUUGACGUUAGCGGCGGACGGGUGAGUAACACGUGGGUAACCUACCUAUAAGACUGGGAUAACUUCGGAAAACCGGAGCUAAUACCGGAUAAUAUUUCGAACCGCAUGGUUCGAUAGUGAAAGAUGGCUUUGCUAUCACUUAUAGAUGGACCUGCGCCGUAUUAGCUAGUUGGUAAGGUAACGGCUUACCAAGGCAACGAUACGUAGCCGACCUGAGAGGGUGAUCGGCCACACUGGAACUGAGACACGGUCCAGACUCCUACGGGAGGCAGCAGUAGGGAAUCUUCCGCAAUGGGCGAAAGCCUGACGGAGCAACGCCGCGUGAGUGAUGAAGGUCUUCGGAUCGUAAAACUCUGUUAUUAGGGAAGAACAAACGUGUAAGUAACUGUGCACGUCUUGACGGUACCUAAUCAGAAAGCCACGGCUAACUACGUG
rnacentral:rRNA from 1 species